AAAAAAAAAACUGUAGAUCCAGAAAUAUUUAAGAAAGAUAAAUAAAUUAGAAAAAUAGCACAAACAGAAAAGACAAAAAUAAGUCAUAAUAUAUAAUCUUAAUAAUAAAUAUAAAUGAAUCAAUGCUCUAGUUACAAAAAAAAUUUGCUAAAAAAAAAAAAAAAAAAAAGAAAAUCACGUCAACCUUGUCCUUUGGGUUGUAAUUAUGUCUACCUUGUUUUGGAUGGUUAAGGUAUGCCAUCUGUCUCCUCUUAUUUUCCUAUCAUCCUUUCAUCCCCAUUGCUAUUAGGGAACCCUGUUCUGUAAGACUAGUUCUACUAUUAACCCAAGUGUUCCAAGUACAGCCACUAUUGGGCUCCUUCUCACCAACACAUUUAUUUUUGCUUUGAGAAAUUAGAGUGUCUUCCUUGCCAUCCCAUGGAGCAUAGGUAGCUGGUGGGUGUUCCAGUUUUUCAUAGCAUAUCAUCUCUAGAAGAUCCAAUUAUCUCAGUUUUUUUUCCCUUUCUUCCGGCAUCUGCCAGGAAGUCUAGCAUUCCUACUUACUAUGGGCCAUAGCUUUCUCCAAGCUUUGAACAGCCAAUCUAGAAUUUGUUACCAUCUCCUGGUUUCUUUUCAGGUAGUUAAAUCUUAUAUCAUGGGAAUGUUCUCUCGUAUCAAUAAAUUUUCCCUUAUCCAACUUUAUAUUCUAUUCCUCUCAGCCUCUCAGCACCCAGCCCCAUACAUAUACUCCUGGCUAAUAUACAUUGGCCAAGUCUUACAGAACCAUUCAAGGUAGAGUCUGUUUCUUCUUAUGGCAUGUCCAGCACUUGCCUUACUGGCUUAUACUGUGGCUUAACCUUUGUUAUUUAUCUGACAGCUAGAAAGGAUGUGGAAGUAGAUACAAAUAGAUGGUAGGAAGGACAUAUGUUGUCUUACGAGGCAUAGGCACUUGCAUCGUCUUCAAACAAUGCAGAAAUGCUAGCUCUUAACACGAAGAGGGGGGCCACUUCUGCAGACCCAGGACAUUCAGAGAAAACUAGGGAUUCAAGACUGUCAAAUGAAUAAACCCAGAUGUCUCCCAUCUCAAAUCUCAGGGUGCCAUACUUAUCCAACCUGCUAAUUUUAGCAUAGCUGAUUUUAUGAGGUUGAAAAUUUAGACAUUUUAUAUGCCUAGCAGCCUUAUAAUUAAGUUCUGGACCUGAUUCUCAGCUUUUUCUGCCCUUCAAUUCAAUAGGUGUGAUUUUCUGUGUUUCCAAGGAGGCUAUACACACUUCAAUCUCCAGCCAAAAUGGGUAAUGAAUUGCCCUAAGUGUUUCAUGUCUUUCUUUAAGACAUAAUAGCACUCAGCGUGAGCCACUCUAUUCCAUAGUCUAGUAAUUACUAAUUGUCCCAAACUUCUCAAAUACCUGAUAUAGCCCCAACCACUGCAUUCUCUUUAACUGCCUCCCAUCCCAAUUCAAUGGAAGUGUUACUAUUCAGUGCUACUGCAUGGCAAUCACAGUGGAGGCCUCAGCCCAUCCUGUGGAAAGCUGUGAAGUUGGUUUGGCGUGGAGAGAUAUCUUAAUUUAAAGAAAGACAGCCAGGUCUUUGAAUCCCUUCUAUCAUUGAGCCAUUCCAUGAGAACUUCCUCUUAGAAGUGCACUUAAUCUCCGUGAGCCUUAAUAUUUGGUUGAAAGCAAUCCUGAGUACAAGGGACUCAGUGUGAGCCAUCAGUAAGCAACACUUUGGCAGCCAGGAGAGAAAAUGCCUUGGAAUCCGGGUAUUCACUACACAAGAUUAGCAGUAAAUAGGCAUGGGACUAAAAUCCACAAUGAAGCAAAAUUAAUUUAGCACUGCAAUGAAAUAAGUAAAUCUGCAUUCAAUAGAAAAAAAGUUAUAAAACCCAUUUGGAACAAUGGCAAUAUUAAUACUAACCAGAAAAAAUUUAUAUAAUAGAUUUAUGGAUUUCUGUAAGGUCAUACAAGAUAUUGAAACAGACUAUAUUAGACUUUAAAGGAUAGCCUGUUGAGAGAAAUCUUAUGUGGUCAUAAAAAGAAAUUCAACAAUUUCUCAGAAGAAAUGAAGGGGUAAAGAAGUCUUUUUAAAAAUCUUUAUUUUAUAAUUAAACUCUAUCAAUUUAUCUCAGUUCUACUCUGGAAUAGAUUUUUCACAAAGGGUGAAUUAAUCCUCUGCCCAAAGGGCCAUUAAUUUUUUAUGGUGGCAAUCAAAGGAAAAUAUUACAAAAGAAAAUUACUUACGUCAAAAUGCAAAGAAAUUGAAAACCUGUGCCAUAUGUACAAGUAUAUAACAGGCAAUGAUACCAUGCAUGCCAUAGAUGUGCAUAGAUUUCCGGUUCUUUGAAAGCAGGGACUCCACCUUAUUCAUCUUUAUAUACCAAAUGUCUGCCACAAUGCUUUGCAAGCAAAAAAGUUUUACAAAUAUUUUAUGAGUGAGAGAGUCAAUUAAUUCAAAAAUAGAUUAAUAUAAAUUCUAUGGCUACACUCAAAUUUCAUUUCAUUUGUCUAGUAAGUAAUUUGUCUAAUGUUUACUGAGACAUGUUUUAAAUAAAGAUUUGAACAUUAAAAUUAUCCUUAUAGACUUUUGUCAUGGGAAUUAUAUAGUUUACUAAAGACAAUGGAGAGUUCUCUUUCUAAAAAGUGAUAUAUUUAAUAUCCUGUGUUAUUCAAUAAAUACUAUUAAAACCAGCAUAUGCUGAUUGAUGAUGGAUUAUAUGGCAGGAUGCUGACAGGUGCUGGGAAGGAAGAAAAAUCAUCCAAAAUUUCUUCCUACAAGAAACAUAGAGUUUGUAGUGAUGGUAGCAUUCAUGUGAAAAUUAACUAUGAUCAGACGAGAUAAUGUAAGAAUUAAGUAGAAGAAUUAAGAUUGCUAAUUAAUUAAAAUUGAGAUUGAUCAUUCUCUACUGAGCUAUCAUUUAUCCAUCCUCAAGCAAUGGAACCCAAAUUUUAGCUGGAUAUAUAACUCCAGAAUAACUGUUUCUCAGCCUCCUUUGCAGCUGCGGUAGCCAUGCGACCAACCUCUGGUAGAGUGUAAGCAAGCAUUCUGCAAGAAUUCCAAGAAAGUCUCUUUAAAGGAGGUGACUUCUUCCCUACUGCUUAAUCCUUAGAAUGGGACCAUUAUAAUCAGAUUUCCAAAAACCAUCUUGGACCAGGAGGUAAUUUUGAGCAAGAAAGCCACGUGCUGAGAAUAGUAAAUGGCAAACCAUCUGAGUCCCUGGGGAUAAUGGAGCAAACUUACUAUCAGAGGAAAGAAAGAAACCUCUAUCUUACUUAAGCCACUUUAUCCUAUUUAUAUUUGUUUUUAUACCUUACUAAAUAAAGGCAAACCUAAGUCCAGUUGAUACUAUAAGCAUGAAAAAGCAGUCAUUUAAUUUUAUAGGAGGACUGAAAGUUUGAGGGAGGAGGUGUCUUUUGAGUUAGAACUAAGAUGAGGAAAUUCUGAACCUCAACUUUUAUCAUUAGUCUGAAAAAAAGACAUGGUAAAAUAUUUUGCAUGCUAUAUUUGUGUAGAAUCAAUUCCACAAAAGAGUCAAUAAUGACAGCUCUAUUUUUUAAGGUUCAGUUGUUCCAGUCUUCCUAUUCUGCUUUGAUUAUAUUUAAAUUUUUUCUUUGAAUCCCGUAAGUGAAUGCCGUAAUUUAUUUCCCUGAGAAAAGACAAUUGUAGUUUAUAAACACACUUUUAAAAUAUACAUAGGUGCCAAUUAUGCUUUCAAAACAACUAAUCUUGAAAGCAGAAUUCUAUAUGUAUAUAUUUUCAUGUAUAUGUGAAAAUGACUUAUUUGAUAUCAUUAAAUACAGAGUGCAUUAUUUUGUUCUCAGACUGAGUGUAUAAUAAGGUGUGGAAUAGGGCAUUCUGAGGAUACCAAUGCAAAAUCAGUCGAAAAGUAUACGAAAACCCUUUUCACUCUGUUGACACUUCAUUAUUUGUAGACUGCAGUAAUAUCUGCAAAGUAGGUUAUUGUCUUCCUUGACAUACAUUUCUAAAUAGAUGGAUAUAUAGCUUAGCAUACAUUCCUGGAAAGAGUGCAUGUGGGGUUUGGAGGGAGGUGGAAGAAGUAUAUUGAGGAACUUUUGCAAAUCACAUAAUAUUGUAACUAAACUAAAUAGUUAUUAAAAGAAAUUUUUUGGCAAAGCAAAGAAUAUGUCUAUAAUUUUUUGAAAUUGCUUGUCAAAACCCAUUUGACAAACUGUGAAGAGCCUGAGAUUUAUCCUACUUGCAAGCUAGCAGGUUAGUCAGCCACAGUUUCACUGAUGCUGGCAGAAGACCCUAGACUCCUAGGUCAGAGACAGAGG
rnacentral:lncRNA from 1 species